rnacentral:rRNA from 1 species
UACGGAAGGCAGCAGUGGGGAAUAUUGCACAAUGGGCGCAAGCCUGAUGCAGCCAUGCCGCGUGUAUGAAGAAGGCCUUCGGGUUGUAAAGUACUUUCAGUCGUGAGGAAGGUGUUAAGGUUAAUAACCUUAGCAAUUGACGUUAGCGACAGAAGAAGCACCGGCUAACUCCGUGCCAGCAGCCGCGGUAAUACGGAGGGUGCGAGCGUUAAUCGGAAUUACUGGGCGUAAAGGGCACGCAGGCGGUUAAUUAAGUUGGAUGUGAAAUCCCCGGGCUUAACCUGGGAAUGGCAUUCAAGACUGGUUAGCUAGAGUCUUGUAGAGGGGGUAGAAUUCCAUGUGUAGCGGUGAAAUGCGUAGAGAUGUGGAAGAAUACCGGGUGCGAAGGCGGCCCCUGGACAAAGACUGACGCUCAUGUGCGAAAGCGUGGGGAGCAAACGAGGAUUAGAUACC